GGGUUGGCAUUGUACAAGGCCAAAAGAGGCACUGGAGACCACAGCAUACUGAAGACAUCAGGACCAUGGGAUGAUGACCAAGGACAAGAGCAGGUGUGGAGUGGGGCAAACCUGAACCUGAGACAAGGGUGUGUGUGUGUGUGUGUGUGUGUGUGUGUGUGUGUGUGUGUGGCAAACCUGAACCUGAGACAAGGGUGUGUGUGUGUGUGUGUGUGUGUGUGUGUGGCAAACCUGAACCUGAGACAAGGGUGUGUGUGUGUGUGUGUGACAGAUGGUAGAGCCAGAAAAGUGGGCCUGCUCAAGCCCUUUAGAGCCCAGAAGAUCAUCAAUGAGUCCCCAAAGGUGGUCACUGAACUUUUUACAGUGUUGGAUUUUGGUUUUGAUUUGAUUGUAAUUGUGCCUUGGUUCUUCCCUCUAGGGAUAAGAAAGUAUGUAACUUAUUUUGGAUUUUAUAGGAGCCUACAUUAAGAGACUUUGGAUUUUAAAGGAGAU
rnacentral:lncRNA from 1 species